AUGCACUUGUUCCUCUGCAUUUAGCCGUGUAAAUCUUUCGCCUUUUACUAAAGAUUUCCGUGCAUAGGAGCAAUUUAUGUUGCUAGCUAUUUUUUGGAUACCCUUCCUUCGGGUGGGGGAU
rfam:Dracunculus medinensis genome assembly, scaffold: DME_contig0000813